GUUAUCUGCCCAUCAUGACAAUUUUCAUCAUAAAUUAAUCUACAGAGUGUUUUCUCAAGAGUUUAUUUUUGCUCUGUCUAUAAAUGUCAAGUGAAACUGGAAGGAGCUGAAAACUCAAAGAAAGAGAAGCAUUUACACACGAGGUGCUAAACUCAGCUGGGGCGGAACCAAUCUGCGGCUGCAGGUUUGCCGCCGGCGGCAUAAAAGGGGACACACGUAGCACCGAGGAGGAAAGUGGCCGUGAGUUUCUGUUGGGAAGAGCAUCAAGAUCUGCGGCAAACUGUGCAGGACUGCUUUCAUCUACAAAAUCCGAGUUGCAGCCGGUGGAUGUGGCUAAUAUCUGACCAUGGUGAAAUCGUGUGCUGCCAUCUCCUGCACCAAUCGAUUUGUGCGUGGCUGUAAUAUAUCCUUUCAUAAGUUUCCCAAGCAGUCCAAGGACAGCACACUGAGAGAUCAAUGGAUACAGGCCAUCAGUAGAGAAGCGGUGGGGACCAAGAAGAGAUGGAUCCCAGGGGAUCAUUAUUAUGUAUGCAGCAACCAUUUCAGGGAGGAGGACUUCAUCCUCUCAAAACAUGCGCAACACAAGCUUCUCAGGCCAGGAGCUGUACCAUCCCUCAAUUUGGGGAAACCAGAGAAAAAGAUCGCAGUGAGGACAACCCAAACCAGCCAGGCAGCAGUGCCAUUCGACCAGCACAUCGACAUAGAGCCUGAAGAGGGCAGUGCUGCUGUUACUGAAGACCAUGCAUACUGUACAGACAUUAACACCCUGAAGAGGAAAUAUGACAAUCUAAGUGUACAGCAUGAAAAGCUGAGGCAGGACUUCAACAAUGCCAAACGUAGAGAGAAGCGCUACAGAGUGACAUUGGAGGCCAUGUUAGCUAAAACCAAGGAAUACUACAACUAAAGAACAAUGGAGGUCUUGUGGUGCCCUCAGAUGAUGUUGUUAAACUUGUGAAUCCCUGUGAAGUUGUGCUCAGAUCUUCAGCUGAUGUGAAACAUGUCUGAAGUGGGCACUGGGAACAAAUGACAGGCUGAAACUGUUGGCUGGCUUGCCAUCUGACUUGUUUGCUUCAUUGCAAGAUCACUUUGCUGCCACUGCUCAAGGAAUUGAUACUCAUUUCGCCACCUUUGUUUGUUUGAGAAGAUUUCACACUGUAAAUUUGAUGAACAUCAAGCUACAGGGAGUGUCUGUGAGGAAGUCCUUUACUAAAACAGUUCUAUUUAGAAAUCUGUGACUUCCCAAUAUCCUUAGUAUUUCCAUCAAUGCCUAUAAAUUCCUGUAUAUUUUGAAGCCUUUGGAUGCACUGAAAAUUAGUAAUUUGUUCACUUUGUGAAAAUUAUGUAGAAAAGUACACUUUUGGUGAGAUUUAAAAAGCCAUGCAUUUCAUAUCGUCAAAUUGCUUUUCUCGAAAUAAUUUUGGCAUGCUAUUUCUAUGAAAAUAGGUUACUUCAUAAGUUUCAAACUGAAACAUUUUGUUUUUGCUCUGAAGCUGGUGUUUUAUAGCAAAUUGUUCAUGGAAUUUUAUUGUGAAAUAUAUACAUUUCCUACAAUACUCCUAUAUUUUCUCAGAGAAUACUUUUAUAUUCUCAUAUUUCUGUCAAGUGCACUUGAUACCCUGUAAAUAUUUUACUGGAACACGGAUUUUUUCUAACUGAACCUACAAGUGGUGUAGCUAUUGUAAUGCAAUUUAGCAACACAAACUUUUGUCUAGGUGGUGUAUUUUAUAUUUUUUGGUAACAAGUUGGAGCAGUAUUCCAUUGUAAAAAUAAAUGCUUUCAAUGGUUUCCUUCAUUA